rfam:Volvox carteri f. nagariensis unplaced genomic scaffold VOLCAscaffold_9, whole genome shotgun sequence.
AGGCCUAUGGCUUAAUGGAUAAUGCGCCGGUCUAGGGAACCCGAGAUUCCAGGUCCGAUCCCUGGUAGGCUAG